GUGGUAUCAAAACUCAUUCCAAAAAUAUCAUGGCAAUCCAGUUGGAAUUUCAUUAGCAGCCUUCACAGUUCUAUCUUGCAAGGUAGAAAACAGUUUUUUGAUGCACAAAGAGAGAACUCCAUGUAUGCUUUACUAAAGCUCAAACAUCAUCCUGUCUGUACAUCACAUGAACAUAAGGACAUCAAGAAAACCGUCAAAAAGGAAAAUGUACUUAAUAUUUUUAAUAUUCCAGAUGCUUCAGACAUUCUUUUAAUAUGUGGUUCUUAUUUGGAUUUCUGUCAGUAUGUUGUAAUGUGUAAUGUGAGUGAGAAUCAAUUAGAUGGAAACAAAAUAAAGCAUUUCAAAGAACGA